rnacentral:rRNA from 1 species
GAUGAACGCUGGCGGCGUGCCUAAUACAUGCAAGUCGAGCGAACGGACGAGAAGCUUGCUUCUCUGAUGUUAGCGGCGGACGGGUGAGUAACACGUGGAUAACCUACCUAUAAGACUGGGAUAACUUCGGGAAACCGGAGCUAAUACCGGAUAAUAUUUUGAACCGCAUGGUUCAAAAGUGAAAGACGGUCUUGCUGUCACUUAUAGAUGGAUCCGCGCUGCAUUAGCUAGUUGGUAAGGUAACGGCCUACCAAGGCAACGAUGCAUAGCCGACCUGAGAGGGUGAUCGGCCACACUGGAACUGAGACACGGUCCAGACUCCUACGGGAGGCAGCAGUAGGGAAUCUUGCGCAAUGGGCGAAAGCCUGACGGAGCAACGCCGCGUGAGUGAUGAAGGUCUUCGGAUCGUAAAACUCUGUUAUUAGGGAAGAACAUAUGUGGAAGUAACUGUGCACAUCUUGACGGUACCUAAUCAGAAAGCCACGGCUAACUACGUG